rnacentral:rRNA from 1 species
ACGGAAGGCAGCAGUGAGGAAUAUUGGUCAAUGGGCGGAAGCCUGAACCAGCCAAGUCGCGUGAAGGAUGAAGGUAUUAUGUAUUGUAAACUUCUUUAGCCAGGGGGCAAUAAGGCGUACGUGUACGCCGAUGAGAGUACCUGGAGAAUAAGGAUCGGCUAACUCCGUGCCAGCAGCCGCGGUAAUACGGAGGAUCCGAGCGUUAUCCGGAUUUAUUGGGUUUAAAGGGUGCGCAGGCGGCUUUUUAAGUCAGUGGUUAAAUCGUGACGCUCAACGUCAUCACGCCAUUGAUACUGGAGAGCUUGAUUGCGGUCGAGGUUUGCGGAAUUCGUCGUGUAGCGGUGGAAUGCAUAGAUAUGACGAAGAACACCGAUUGCGUAGGCAGCAGACCAGGCCGUAAAUGACGCUCAUGCACGAAAGUGCGGGGAUCGAACAGGAUUAGAUACCCUGGUA